UUGAUAUAAUCUUACAACCACUUCAAGAUAUUUAUGGUUUGAAGAUUGGUCGUGGACUGGGAAAGAAGGUCGGAGAGUAGAAACACAAGUAUAGUAACUAGAAUAAGAUACAAGAAGAGUGCUGGCAAGGCAAAAAGGGCAGACAACUGGAAUGAGUGGCUAUCUUAGGCAAGCUCAUCUGAAAGAAACAGAUGCAUUUUGCAAGGCUCAGACAUGUGGUUUUCAUAGGCUAGACAGAGUAUUGUGUAUCAUAUUUGCAUACCACAAAUAAAAAAAAACAAGAAACUACCAACAGUGAGAAGAAAGAUGUUUGUAGGAGGAGGCAAAAUGGCAAAGAAAGCAAAACUAGGGAUUGUCAAAAUGGAAGAAGGAAGGGGAUUUUGUAAGAGAAUGCAGCUUGCUACUUGACGAUCCUGGAUUUUAGAUAGCCUUAGCCAGACCUGCCACCACCAAACAAGAGAAGAUGGUAACAGUAAUUGUGGGUCUCUCACCAAGGGAAGACCAAGCCAUGAACUUCACUGACCAGUAGGUGACUGCAUUAAGUGGAGUAGAUGUGUACCUAUCUAUCAUAUGUAGGGAUGCACCAUGAUGGGCUGGGUGAGGGCUUAAUAAAGCAAAACAUGAAAA